rnacentral:rRNA from 1 species
GGGGAUCGCAAGACCUUAUGCUUUUGGAGCGGCCGAUGUCUGAUUAGCUAGUUGGUGAGUUAAUGGCUUACCAAGGCGACGAUCAGUAGUUGGUCUGAGAGGACGACCAGCCACACUGGGACUGAGACACGGCCCAGACUCCUACGGGAGGCAGCAGUGGGGAAUUUUGGACAAUGGGCGCAAGCCUGAUCCAGCMAUGCCGCGUGAGUGAAGAAGGCCUUCGGGUUGUAAAGCUCUUUCAGUCGAGAAGAAAAGGCUGUGACUAAUAAUCAUAGCUCAUGACGGUAUCGACAGAAGAAGCACCGGCUAACUACGUGCCAGCAGCCGCGGUAAUACGUAGGGUGCAAGCGUUAAUCGGAAUUACUGGGCGUAAAGGGUGCGCAGGCGGUUUUGUAAGUCAGAUGUGAAAUCCCCGGGCUUAACCUGGGAACUGCGUUUGAAA